rnacentral:snRNA from 1 species
AGCCUUGCAUGGUGGCGGUAUCAUAGCCAAUGAGGUUUAUCCAACGCGUGAUUAUUGCUAAUUGAAAACUCUUCCCAAUACUU